rnacentral:rRNA from 1 species
CUACGGGCUGCUCCAGUGGGGAAUAUUGGGCAAUGGGCGAAAGCCUGACCCAGCAACGCCGCGUGAUUGAAGAAGGUCUUCGGAUUGUAAAAAUCUGUCCUUGGGGACGAAAAAAUGACGGUACCCAAGGAGGAAGCCCCGGCUAACUACGUGCCAGCAGCCGCGGUAAUACGUAGGGGGCGAGCGUUGUCCGGAAUUACUGGGCGUAAAGGGUGCGCAGGCGGCGCUUUAAGUCAGAUGUGAAAUACCCAGGCUUAACCUGGGGGGUGCAUUUGAAACUGGAGUGCUUGAGUGCAGGAGAGGAAAGUGGAAUUCCUAGUGUAGCGGUGCAAUGCGUAGAUAUUAGGAGGAACACCAGUGGCGAAGGCGACUUUCUGGACUGAACUGACGCUGAGGCACGAAAGCGUGGGGAGCAAACAGGAUUAGAUACCCGCGUAGUC